rnacentral:rRNA from 1 species
AACGAACGCUGGCGGCAUGCCUAACACAUGCAAGUCGAACGAUCCCUUCGGGGAUAGUGGCGCACGGGUGCGUAACGCGUGGGAAUCUGCCCUUGGGUUCGGAAUAACAGUGAGAAAUUACUGCUAAUACCGGAUGAUGUCUUCGGACCAAAGAUUUAUCGCCCAAGGAUGAGCCCGCGUAGGAUUAGCUAGUUGGUGGGGUAAUGGCCUACCAAGGCGACGAUCCUUAGCUGGUCUGAGAGGAUGAUCAGCCACACUGGGACUGAGACACGGCCCAGACUCCUACGGGAGGCAGCAGUGGGGAAUAUUGGACAAUGGGCGAAAGCCUGAUCCAGCAAUGCCGCGUGAGUGAUGAAGGCCUUAGGGUUGUAAAGCUCUUUUACCCGGGAUGAUAAUGACAGUACCGGGAGAAUAAGCUCCGGCUAACUCCGUGCCAGCCGCCGCCGUAACAC